rnacentral:rRNA from 1 species
CCUACGGGUGGCAGCAGUGGGGGAUAUUGCACAAUGGGGGAAACCCUGAUGCAGCGACGCCGCGUGAGUGAAGAAGGAUUUCGGUAUUUAAAGCUCUAUCAGCAGGGAAGAAAAUGACAGUACCUGACCAAGAAGCCCCGGCUAACUACGUGCCAGCAGCCGCGGUCAUACGUAGGGGGCAAGCGGUAUCCGGAUUUACUGGGUGUAAAGGGGGCGUAGACGGUUAUGUAAGUCUGGAGUGAAAGCCCGGGGCCCAACCCCGGGACUGCUUUGGAAACUGUGUAACUGGAGUGCAGGAGGGGCAGGCGGAAUUCCUGGUGUAGCGGUGAAAUGCGUAGAUAUCAGGAGGAACACCGGCGGCGAAGGCGGCCUGCUGGACUGAAACUGACGUUGAGGCUCGAAAGCGUGGGGAGCAAACAGGAUUAGAUACCCCUGUAGUC